GACGAACGCUGGCGGCGCGCUUAACACAUGCAAGUCGAACGGAAAGGCCUGCUUUCCCUUGUGGAUUGCGGGUACUCGAGUGGCGAACGGGUGAGUAACACGUGAGUGAUCUGCCCCCAACUUGGGUAUAAGCCUGGGAAACUGGGUCUAAUUCCCGAUAGGACUGCAGGGUGGUGCCUGUGGUGGAAAACGAUUCUCUAGUGGUUGGGGAUGAGCUCGCGGCCUAUCAGCUUGUUGGUGGGGUAAUGGCCUACCAAGGCGGCGACGGGUAGCCGGCCUGGGAGGGUGGACGGCCACAUUGGGACUGAGAUACGGCCCAGACUCCUACGGGAGGCAGCAGUGGGGAAUAUUGCACAAUGGGCGGAAGCCUGAUGCAGGGACGCCGCGUGGGGGAUGACGGCCUUCGGGUUGUAAACUCCUUUCGACCGCGAGGAAGCCACCUGGUUGGAAGGGUGGUGACGGUAGUGGUAGAAGAAGCACCGGCUAACUACGUG
rnacentral:rRNA from 1 species